rnacentral:rRNA from 1 species
UACGUAGGUCCCGAGCGUUGUCCGGAUUUAUUGGGCGUAAAGCGAGCGCAGGUGGUUUAUUAAGUCUGGUGUAAAAGGCAGUGGCUCAACCAUUGUAUGCAUUGGAAACUAUGUUACUAGAGUGCAGGAGAGGUAAGCGGAAUUCCUAGUGUAGCGGUGAAAUGCGUAGAUAUUAGGAGGAACACCAGUGGCGAAGGCGGCUUACUGGACUGUAACUGACGUUGAGGCUCGAAAGCGUGGGGAGCAAACAGG